rnacentral:tmRNA from 2 species
GGGGCCGUAAUGGUUUCGACUGGGUGGCGAAAGCUGCUUCGUGAUUCAGGCCGAGAGUGAGUCUCCUCUCGCAAAUACCAGGCUCAAACAAAAAAGUAAAUGCGAACAACAUCGUUCCUUUUGCUCGUAAGGCAGCUGCUGUUGCCUAAAAAACCUCUCAACUGAGGCCGAGCGUCUGUAGUGUGACUCCGUUAAAGACUGCAGACAAAACCCCAACGGAUGCUCUAGCAAGAUUUCUCUGGUAAACGGCUAGCUAAGACUUAACCAGAGCAUCCUGUCAUCCGGGAUAAUGGAUGGUCCCCGCCCAGAGGGUUAAAAGGGCUAAGCCUGUGAAUGAGCGAAAAGUUAAUACCCAUUUAGGACGGCAGUUCGAUUCUGCCCGGCUCCAUUC